ACCCGGGUGGCGAAAUUGGUAGACGCACCACCUUGAGGGGGUGGCGCUUGCAAAGGCGUGGCAGUUCGAAUCUGCUUCCGGGUACUA
rnacentral:tRNA from 1 species